rnacentral:rRNA from 1 species
AUUGAACGCUGGCGGCAGGCCUAACACAUGCAAGUCGAACGGCAGCACGGGGCAACCUGGUGGCGAGUGGCGAACGGGUGAGUAAUGCAUCGGAACGUACCUUUCAGUGGGGGAUAACGUAGCGAAAGUUACGCUAAUACCGCAUAUUCUGUGAGCAGGAAAGCAGGGGAUCGCAAGACCUUGCGCUGAUUGAGCGGCCGAUGUCAGAUUAGCUAGUUGGUGAGGUAAAGGCUCACCAAGGCGACGAUCUGUAGCGGGUCUGAGAGGAUGAUCCGCCACACUGGAACUGAGACACGGUCCAGACUCCUACGGGAGGCAGCAGUGGGGAAUUUUGGACAAUGGGGGCAACCCUGAUCCAGCCAUGCCGCGUGAGUGAAGAAGGCCUUCGGGUUGUAAAGCUCUUUCGGCCGGGAAGAAAUCGCACGGGCUAAUACCCUGUGUGGAUGACGGUACCGGAAUAAGGAGCACCGGCUAACUACGUGCCAGCAGCCGCCGUAA